rnacentral:tRNA from 1 species
AGAGUAUAGCUCAGUGGUAGAGUGGGUGCUUAGUAUGCACAAGGUCCUGGGUUCGAUCCUCAGUACCUCCA